GCUUCGGUGGCCUAGUGAUAUGAGCGUCCGCCUCGGAUACGGGAAGUCGUGGGUUCAAACCCCGACCGAGUCA